rnacentral:rRNA from 1 species
GUGAGGAAUUUUCCGCAAUGGGCGAAAGCCUGACGGAGCAAGGCCGCGUGAAGGAUGAAGGCCUAUGGGUUGUAAACUUCUUUUCUCAGAAAAGAAUUAUGACGGUAUCUGAGGAAUAAGCAUCGGCUAACUCUGUGCCAGCAGCCGCGGUAAGACAGAGGAUGCAAGCGUUAUCCGGAAUGAUUGGGCGUAAAGCGUCUGUAGGUUGUUUAAAAAGUAUUCUGUCAAAGAUUAGGGCUUAACCCUAGAUAGGCAGAAUAAACUUUUAAGCUAGAGUUUGGUAGAGGCAGAGGGAAUUCCCGGUGGAGCGGUGAAAUGCGUAGAUAUCGGGAGGAACACCAAAGGCGAAGGCACUCUGCUGGGCCAAUACUAACACUGAGAGACGAAAGCGAGGGGAGCAAAUGGGAUUAGAAACCCGUGUAGUCC